rnacentral:lncRNA from 1 species
UGUGAGGCCUGUUGAUGACCUUCAACCUGGUAUAGCCCAUCUGCCAAAAUGGUUUUUCAGGGUGUGGCCACUGUGCGUGCUACAGCUUCUUAGGGCCACAGGUGAGAGUUGAGUGCAAGUGGACAGCGAAAGUGGAUGAGCAGCCCUGAAAAUGGCUCAGCAUCCCUCACGUCAGAGGUGCAAGUCCUCCCUAAACACCCUAUAUACCCCAUCACCCCCUGCACCACUCCUGGUGAGUGGUGAGUCCAGGUAGGGAGUGCUGGUCUCUAAAAUAUCAAUCACCAAGAUUUUAACUUCCUUCUCUCCCCCUCCCCAACAGAAAAAAAAGAAAGAAAAAAGAAAUCUCUGUUGAAACAAUUAAGUAACAUCUGUGUUGGAAGUUAAAGUAAUAGGGUCUCGCCACCUCCGCAUGAUCCUGGGUUAAGAGUGUGACUGAAGCUGCUGGAUUUCCUCUAAUGAAGCCCCUUUCUGAGACCCUCAGAGAGUCGGGUCCCUCCUGAAGAGACAGUGUCCCCCAGACAAACUCCCAGCUGGAGAAACACUGGUUGGCAGCUGACCCCCAAAGGCCUGACCCUGGCUGCCUCCCCCUCUCACUCCCAAGACCCUUUCCCUCAGCUUCUGAGAAUAAAAGUUCGAGUGGAUGCCUCUGGGGGUCAGGGAUUGUCCUAGGAGGAGACAAAUGACUCUAAGACCUCUUGCUGAGGCAUCCCUCCAGAGCCUAGAGCAGAGUAUUUCCUGACUUUCCAGCCCAGGAAGGUGGAGACCUGGGUGAAGUCCCAGCAUCCAGAGCCCAGUGAGAAGAAACUUGACAAGAGAGUAGAGUCCAGACGCCUGAUCCUGGCACUUGCGGGCCUCUGCGGCCCAACACCGCCUUCCUUUCCAGGCUGCUGCCAUGGUCCUCCCCUUUCCACACUCGGCAUGCCAACCCACAGGACUCCUCCAGCGCAGGGACACCCUGUGCUUCAAAUGCCCCAUGCCUCUGUUCAGCCCAUUCUGCGAGUCUGGAAAGGCCAGACCAAAUACCGUCUUCAAGAAAGCUUUCCCCGCUUGGUAACAGCCUUCCCUCUGACCUUGUUCUAGAACUCUCUAAUGCCGAUGUGUCAGAUGACGCCCAAGACUCCCCCAGAAUAGAUGAAGGUGUAAUUGGGGAAGGGUUGACAAAAUAAAAACUCAUGAAAGCAUAGAUCA